UACGUAGGGUGCGAGCGUUAUCCGGAAUUAUUGGGCGUAAAGAGCUCGUAGGCGGUUUGUCGCGUCUGUCGUGAAAGUCCGGGGCUUAACCCCCGGAUCUGCGGUGGGUACGGGCAGACUAGAGUGCAGUAGGGGAGACUGGAAUUCCUGGUGUAGCGGUGGAAUGCGCAGAUAUCAGGAGGAACACCGAUGGCGAAGGCAGGUCUCUGGGCUGUAACUGACGCUGAGGAGCGAAAGCAUGGGGAGCGAACAGG
rnacentral:rRNA from 1 species